UACGGGGGGGGCAAGCGUUGUUCGGAAUUACUGGGCGUAAAGGGCUCGUAGGUGGCCAACUAAGUCGGACGUGAAAUCCCUCAGCUUAACUGGGGAACUGCGUCCGAUACUGGAUGGCUCGAGUUUGGGAGAGGGAUGCGGAAUUCCAGGUGUAGCGGUGAAAUGCGUAGAUAUCUGGAGGAACACCGGUGGCGAAGGCGGCAUCCUGGACCGGCAUUGACGCUGAGGCGCGAAAGCUAGGGGAGCAAACGGG
rnacentral:rRNA from 1 species